rnacentral:rRNA from 3 species
AAAUUGAAGAGUUUGAUCAUGGCUCAGAUUGAACGCUGGCGGCAGGCCUAACACAUGCAAGUCGAACGGUAGCACAGAGAGCUUGCUCUCGGGUGACGAGUGGCGGACGGGUGAGUAAUGUCUGGGAAACUGCC